GGGGGUGUAACGGUUUCGACGGGGACAUUUGAAGCUGUAGAAGCGUGCCGAGGUUCCUACAGGCCUCGUUAAACAGGUAGGAAACAUAUAAUCGCAGACAACUACGAUUACGCUUUAGCCGCUUAAGACGGCUAACGUCGAAUCCGGAUCUCCUGCCGGCCGGGCUAGACGUCAUUUAGGCAGGAUAGCCGAGCUUCUUUCCUGGCGGAGUAAGGCGAAUCCCUACAGGAUAGCGCGGUGCGAUCCCGCCUUCGGGAGCAAAACCAGCGUGAAGUUUCGAAAACGAAGGAUGCGCACGGAGAAACUCCAGCGGAAGGUUUUCGGACGCGGGUUCGAUUCCCGCCACCUCCACCA
rnacentral:tmRNA from 1 species